rnacentral:misc_RNA from 1 species
ACACCCUCAAGCUCUGCUUGUCGUUGGGCGUCUGUCCCGCCUCGGCGCGCGGACUCGCCCCAAAUCCAUUGGCAGCGGCCUUGGCCCCCUCUCGCGCAGCACAUUGCGCUUCUCGAGGGCGGCUCCGAGCCGCGACCCACCAAGAUGGCCACCGU